rnacentral:tRNA from 1 species
ACGAGUAUGCCGAAAUUGGUAGCCGGGUGAGUCUUAGGAACUCAUAAUUUUUUUUAAUUGUAAGAGUUCAAGUCUCUUUACUCGUA